rnacentral:tRNA from 1 species
GCCGUCGUGGCACAACCUGGUACUGCGCCAGCCUGCUAAGCUGGUUUCCUUACGGAUAUCCCGGUUCAAAUCCGGGCGACGGCG